rnacentral:rRNA from 1 species
CCAGGUGGUUAUGGCGCAAGUGCCCCACCCGAUCCCAUUCCGAACUCGGCCGUGAAAGUUUGCAGCGCCGAUGGUACUUUGUCUUAAGGCACGGGAGAGUAGGUCGCUGCCUGGU